rfam:Gossypium raimondii chromosome 7, whole genome shotgun sequence.
AAAACAUGCAUCAGGCAUUUUCUAAUUAGUUCCAUGAAACGCUCUCAUGCUUCAUAUAAUAUUUCAUCUUUCGCUUGCCUAAACGAUGUAAUGUCGUUCCUAAAAUU